UACGGGGGGGGCAAGCGUUGUUCGGAAUUACUGGGCGUAAAGGGCUCGUAGGUGGCCAACUAAGUCACACGUGAAAUCCCUCGGCUUAACCGGGGAACUGCGUGUGAUACUGGAUGGCUUGAGUUUGGGAGAGGGAUGCGGAAUUCCAGGUGUAGCGGUGAAAUGCGUAGAUAUCAGGAGGAACACCUGUGGUGUAGACAGCUUACUGGACCAUAACUGACGCUGAGGCACGAAAGCGUGGGUAGCAAACAGG
rnacentral:rRNA from 1 species